ensembl:snRNA U6 U6 spliceosomal RNA
GUGCUUGCUUCGGCAGCACAUGUACUAAAAUUGGAACAAUACGGAGAAGAUUAGGACGGCCCCUGCGCAAGGGUGACACGCAAAUUCAUGAAGCUUCCAUAUUUUUA